CAUCCGCAGAACAAGCAGAAGAGGAAGGAGAACAAAUAGAAGAAAGGGAUGAGGGAGUCGAAAAUAUUUUUCCGAUAGUGCCUUUCCCAGGCCCAGAGGUAAGCUUCACACUCCUCCCCACAUUCAAAUCCAAUACAGUUUUUUUUUCUUUUUCUUUCUGCAAAACCCCGUUUUCAUCAUAAGGAACAUUGUACACAAAAGGGGAAGAAG
rnacentral:ribozyme from 1 species